AAUAUAACGUAAUAAUUAAUUGAAGUGACGUAAACAUCGCAAGCUGGAUAACAUUAUGGGAUAUAGACUGCUGUGUGGCUUUGGCUAACAUAUGCAGGAAAACAAAACCAAGGUGCUGGACAACCAAGGAGCUUUUCGCAAUGAGAAUUCCUUAGACUUCCGUGGACAUAGAGUAUCUUCGUGCCUGCCACGAAUAAACAUGCAAAAUUUGGCGUUCGAUCUGAAUAGGUUGAAUCUGCAUAGGAAUCACAGCAAACUUGCGAUCUAUUUAAAUCGAACGCCGGAAAUGCUUAUUGGCCAGAUCUAGAGCCGGCCUUCUGGAGGUCCGCUUAAGGAAAAGCGGAUUCAAACUGAAAAUUCCUCAUUGUUGAAGUAUGCCAUUUGAUGCUAUUUUUAUGGUGGAAAAUAAUAGGGUAAAUCGCUAAUUAAGAUUUUUAAUUUAGAUUAAUGUAAUUUAAUUUUUGAUUUUAGGCGAAGGAGCACCUUUUUCUAAGCCACUGAUUUUUUCAGAUUUCUAGAACUUUAUUUUCAUACCUAAAAUCAAUUACAAAGAGAUUUUAAGAAAUCACCUUUUGACAGCUGGGCAACUACUACUUGACAGCUGUCCGCCCAUACGAAAUGCGACAAGAGGUGAUUCGACAAAUCGCUCCCAUACAAACUUCAAACUGAUUUUUAAAUAGCUUUUCGGGCACCAAAAUUUAUGAAAAUUUGGAUUCCGGCUCAGCUUGGCAUGCAGAUUCAGAAUAUGCAAUAUCUCAACAUCGCUUAAGAAGCCAAUUGGGUUGUUUAGUGAAUAAAAUAUUGCUAUUUUCUAUAGCCUAAAGUGCCCCGCACAAUGCAUACGUUUGCGUGUGUGUGACAGUAGUUUGGCACAUUUCCCAUGGGAAAACUGUCAAAAAACGCAAACCUCGACGGAACGGACGCUAUGUGUUUCAGGCUCGAAAGAGCUCAUUUUUCUAAGUAUAAUGUGAUUUUAUUGGAUUCCAAUACCUUUGUUUUGAUGGUUAAAUUAACAAAACAGUUCAGUUCAGUGGAUAGAAUGACAGUUCAUAAAAGUUCGAUAAAAUGACAGUUCGACCCGAACAAAAAAAAAAUCCCUAUACAAACUUCAUUGCAUUUUAAAAAUAGUUCCCAGACUCCAAAAAUUAUGAAAUUUUGGAUUUCGAUUAAUUUUUGGGCGGAAAAUCUGAUUAUAAAAUAAUUUGUAUACCCUUAAAGAACCCAAUUGUUGCACACUCCAUGCUAUUUUAUGAGGUGUGCAACAAUUGGCGAGUUUUUAAGGUGUGCAAUAAUAGAUUACCCGCAGGGAGUGCGUUCAAUGCUGGUCCGCAGGAGUAAAAUCAUUUUAUUUUGUAUGGCGAAAAGCAUCUAAACUCGAAUUUCUCGAAAUGAAAAGCUUUUACCGAAAAAUUUUUGGGAGGCACCCAACCGGUCAUCAUUGUGCACAACCGCUACCAAAUAUUUUUUCGAUUAAUGUGUUCCACUUCGAGAAAUACGCUUUUAGAUGCUAUUCGCCAUACAAUAUUUUUGCGAUUUACUUUUAGCGAUUUUUCGCGCAUAGAAGCUAGCGCCACAUUGGUCGAUGCGGAGAGUACACUGAGAAAAAAAUUAUAGUAAAACUAACUAUUCAUCCAUUCUUAAUUUUACCAUGCCUAAAAAUAGUAACAUUGAGCAUGUUAUCAAUGGUGACUACUAUGUUUUCCUCGUAGUUACCAUGUUUUGACAGCCAAGCGAAUAGUAGCAAAUACCAUCAAAUAUGGUUAUCUUAAUUACGCUAUUCGUGAUUGUCUGAACCAUGUUCAUAUUUGCCUACUACUAUUUUUAUGUUUAACUAUACUAUAUGCAUAAGCUCUUUUUUUUUUCAGAAAAUUCGGCAAACAUCGCCAUUUUGCGAUAAAGUGUUUGCCACGUUUCCUUGUUCAUAAAAUAUUAUUUGUUAUGGAGAAUUGAUUUUUGUUUUAUAAAAAUGGUGUAAUUCAACCAAUUUUCUUCUGCCGGAAGAAAAUCCCAAGGAAAAUCCGACACCAUUCUCACCACCUCUGUUUUUCCAAGGCGAAUAUCGAUGGGAAGUUCCGGAAGUUGGCAAGUUUCAAGGAAAGAAUGUCAAGAAAGAGCAGAGAAAGAGGGGAAAAGUAAGUUAUGAAUGUAUUCUAAAAAUUCUUUCUCAUCCAACAUAUUUUCAUCAUUCUCAGGCGAGUUUACAGGUUACAAAGCCACUUGAUACCGAUGGAGCUUCCAGAUUAAAGAGCAACCCGAGUCACCUACAAAAAUGAAUACAUUGCAGCAGAAAUCCCCCCUCCGCGGACGAAUCCAUCCGAAGAAGGACAUCGGAGCUUUUUCCUAAUUCCGUCUCCUUUAAUUCCUUCGCCGUUGUUUAAUCAGGAUACGCCUGUAACCUCCAAACCGAACCGAUGCUCUCACAACAACUUCGUCCGGAACCACACCCAGCCGCGUUCAGCAGCUUCCCGGACGUCACAUCAUAGCGGGACCCAAGGAACUUCAAUCAUGCCGCUCCGAAAAAACGAAUAUUCGCAAGAAAGGGACCAAACAGGAUGCUUGACUCCCACGAAGGACAUUCAUCUUAUAGGAAUAUACUUAUGUAUCAUUAAUUAUGUAAUUAUACUUUAUACAAUGCAAUACCCAACUAACAUUUAUUGUGAAUGUAAACGUCAACAAAGCGUCCUCAAUACGGCUUGAUGCUGAGUUACUGUGUUGUACAUAUGGACGGAAGCUUCUAUGCAAGCCCUAUACCAAUGAAUCUGGCGAACUUAAUCAGCUUGUACAUGCUGUGCGAUCAGCUUCUAUGCCACCUAGUCAUAGCGCUUUUCUCGGCUCCUAUGUAACCACUAACUGAAUAACAUCUUGAGAAGGCGCUUUUUCAGCCUUUUCGCAGUUGUUAAAUAACAGUUAUACGGCAUCCCCAAAUUAAACGAUUAAAUAUAAUUAGAUUAUGGAUACCGUGACGCAAUACUGGAACUGGAAUUAUCACUUUUAAAAUUGAAUAAUUAAAGUACUUGCCGCUACUUGGAAUCGAACUCCCGAUCUCCGUAUCCACUGGUCCCGAUGAUGUCCUCGCUGCCACACUGCUAUAUAUAAAUAACAUAGAAAAUAGCCCGUUUUGUUUUACUCCAGACAAGGCUUCAUAAUUGUGCCACAAGAAACCUUACCCAACUUCAUCUUGCUGCAAAAGCUUGUGAAACGUCAAACGCAAUGAUGUUUACAUUGAACAAGCUGUGUGGUUGCGCCAACAGAUUCUUCUUCACAGCUUCUAGCUGAAAGAGUGUUCUUUAAACGGCUACGAAGCGCUGCUGUUUUGUGUUUGGGCAACAUUACAAAACGUACUGUAUAAAAACAGCUGUUGUAGUGGCUGGGACUCUUACUCGAUUUGCACAUCUUCUGGCAAAUCUUCCGGCAUUGAAUUGAAGUGCAAUAAAAGCAUAUUUGGGUUUCACAGCACAUACGUGGAUAGCUGUAAAGAAUUUGUGUAGUAGCUAUAUAUCCCGCUUAAAGUUUGUUUUGACAAUAAUGUUUAUAUCCGACAAGCCGUGUUGGUAAACCAACAGGUUCUUUAAUACAGCUUCUAGCCGUAAUGAAAUCGCAUAACGGCCUUUAAAGCGCUGCUGGUUUGGGGAUUUGUCAGUAUAACGAAUUGUACUGUAUAGUAGCAGCUGUUUUGUUAGUGGGGACUCCUAUUCGAUGUGUUCAAGUUUUCAAAUCUUCCGGGAAAUCUCCCGGAGUUGGAAUAGAGUGGAGUAAAGGCAGCCCCAGUGACAAGCAAUGGAUUUCUGAAAACCGAGUUUGGUAGCUGUAUGGUGCUUGUUUUGCAGUCGUGUAUUAGCUUAUGAUAUAUAUUUGACUAGCUUUCCUUUUAUUCAGCGUUGACUGCUUUUACUCGAUGGUUACACAACAGAAAGCAAAUGACUGAAGCU